CAAAUCUACCCUAACACAGACACUCACUCGGUUCUCUCUCUACCCGCCGCCUCCCCCCCUUCUCCCUCAGUACCGCCGGUUGGAGCUCCAUCUCCUUCGCCAUCUCUUCGCCUUCGUCCUCCCGCCUUCGCCACACAGAGGCGCCGCCCAAGCCUCCCUGUGUUUUUCUCUCCCCUCAGACGGUGGCAACUCACCACCACCGCCUCACCUCCGUCCUCUCGCCUCCACCGCCUUCCCACUGGCCUCCUCUCAUAGGCGCUGCCUCCCUUCUUCCCCCUCUGUUCCGCCGGCGCCGGCGCCGCCUCCCCCAUCCCCCUCUAUUCACCCGGCGCCGCUUCCCUCUUUCCCGCUCUGUAAAUCUGCCUCCCCUUUCCCGCUCUGUUCCGGCGCCACCGCCUCCGCCUCUCGCCUCUUCGCCUCACCGCCUCCGCCUCUCGCCUCUUCGCCACCACCUGUAGAAAUCUGAGAUCUGAGAUGUUGCGAGGUGUUGCGCUGCUCUAAAUCUGAGAUCUGCGCGGCGGCGGGCGGCGGGCGGUGGUGGCGUUGCUCCGCUGCGCUGAAUCUGCGUGGUGAUUGAUUGAGAACUGAAUUUGUUGCAGGUUUUGUUGAAAUUUGUUGCAGAUUUCUUGUUGUUUAAUUUCUUGCAGAUUUUGGAGGCUUGAUUGAGAACUGAACUGAAUUCGUAAUGCAAAUUUGUUGUUUAAUUCGCGUGGUUAUUUACUCCAUUCUUGUAAUUUCUUGUUGUUUAAUUUCUUGCAGAUUGAGAACUGAAUUUCUUGUUGUUUAAUUUCUUGCAGAUUGAGAACUGAAUGUGAUUGAUCUGGAGGCUUUUGUUGUUUAAUUUCUUGCAGAUUUUGUUGAAAUUUGUUGUAAAGAUUUUGUUGAAAUUUGCAGAUUUUAUGUUGUUUAAUUUAUAGAAUUCAGUUUUGCUAAUUUUACAAGAAUGAUUAGGCCAUAUUUACUUUUUCUUAAACAUGUGGGGCCUUACACUUUACAACACUAAUUCAACACUUCUUAGUCUCCGUGCCCAAAAGAAAUGGGACAUGAUUAUUGGGACGGAGGGAGUA
rnacentral:lncRNA from 1 species